UACGUAGGGUCCGAGCGUUGUCCGGAAUUACUGGGCGUAAAGCGUGCGCAGGCGGCUUCUUAGGCAUGACGUGAAAGCCCCGGGCUCAACCCGGGGAGGGUCGUCGUGAACCGGGGGGCUUGAGGCCGGUAGAGGUGGGUGGAACUCCUGGUGGAGUGGUGAAAUGCGUGAGAGAAUCAGGAAGAACGACCCGUGGCGAAGGCGGCC
rnacentral:rRNA from 1 species